GACGAACGCUGGCGGCGUGCUUAACACAUGCAAGUCGAACGGAAAGGCCCUGCUUUUGUGGGGUGCUCGAGUGGCGAACGGGUGAGUAACACGUGAGUAACCUGCCCUUGACUUUGGGAUAACUUCAGGAAACUGGGGCUAAUACCGGAUAGGAGCUCCUGCUGCAUGGUGGGGGUUGGAAAGUUUCGGCGGUUGGGGAUGGACUCGCGGCUUAUCAGCUUGUUGGUGGGGUAGUGGCUUACCAAGGCUUUGACGGGUAGCCGGCCUGAGAGGGUGACCGGCGAGAGUGGGACUGCGAUACGGACAAGACUCCUGCGGGAGGCAGGAGUGGGGAAUAUUGCACAAUGGGCGGAAGCCUGAUGCAGCAACGCCGCGGGCGGGAUGACGGCCUGCGGGUUGUAAACCGCUAUCGCCUGUGACGAAGCGUGCGUGACGGUAAGGUGUAAGGAAGCAGCGGCUAACUACGUG
rnacentral:rRNA from 1 species